rnacentral:rRNA from 1 species
GUGGGGAAUCUUGCGCAAUGGGCGAAAGCCUGACGCAGCCAUGCCGCGUGAAUGAUGAAGGUCUUAGGAUUGUAAAAUUCUUUCACCGUGGACGAUAAUGACGGUACCCGGAGAAGAAGCCCCGGCUAACUUCGUGCCAGCAGCCGCGGUAAUACGAAGGGGGCUAGCGUUGCUCGGAAUUACUGGGCGUAAAGGGCGCGUAGGCGGACAGUUUAGUCAGAGGUGAAAGCCCAGGGCUCAACCUUGGAAUUGCCUUUGAUACUGGCUGUCUUGAGUACGGGAGAGGUGAGUGGAACUCCGAGUGUAGAGGUGAAAUUCGUAGAUAUUCGGAAGAACACCAGUGGCGAAGGCGACUCACUGGCCCGUUACUGACGCUGAGGCGCGAAAGCGUGGGGAGCAAACAGGAUUAGAAACCCCAGUAGUCC